AGUUCAGGGGUGGCGGAUAGGAUUGGACGUGUUGCGCCGGGGAGGUACCGGGAGGCGGCGGCCGUGUAAAGGAAAGCAGGAGGAGGCGGCGAACGUUCGAUCGAUACGCGGGGCGGAGGCGGUGCGGUGCGCGGAGGGAUUUUCGGAGCGGUGGCAGCAGCAGCAGCGGCGGCGGCGGCGGCAACAGUGUUCCCAGCACACAGUAGGCUCUGGCGGGCGGCCGCUCGCGCCGAUUUUACAGUACGCUGCCAGCCGCCACCACCACCGCCGCUACCGCCGCCAACGUCCAACGUAGAAGACGUCAGAGAACGAACGAGAACGCACGCACGCACACAAAAACCGAACGCAACUCUUGAGCAUCACAUCAGUAGCCGCCGCCGCUGCAGCCGCCUACGAUCUUCCUCCAAAAUUUUUCAAAAAAAAAUAAAAAAGCCACCCCAGAUCGGGUUUCAAACACGCACAUGUAGAGAGUGAGAGCACUAGUGUAGACACCGCACGCAAAGACGCGCGUAGUUGUUAAACAACUGCUAUGUUUUAGCUGGUGAUCGAGACGCAAAAUGACGGCCAAGUUUAGAGACGGACCAGGAAAACGUUUGUUUGUAUUCUUAAUAGCAUAAGAGACAGAAAAAUAGGAAAAAAAAAAGAAACGGAG